rnacentral:lncRNA from 1 species
AAGGUACUUGACUAUCACUUUUAUAAGCUUCUCCUUGGUUCUGGCGUUCAUAUGAAUAAAAGAGACAAACAUGUAUGAUUUACAACUCUAGGUUAACCAACCCAAUCGAUUCAACAUGUUUAGUUCUUCCACCUUUGUGAUCCCACACUCCUAAUCAUAUGAGCUAAAAUGUUGCACACUCAAUCUUUGAAAGAUAUAAAAAACAUAAAUAUAGAUAGAUUUUCUUUCCAUUAGAUUGAGCGAUCUGAUCUGACAAAUGUUUUAAAUACUACACUCAUGAUCUUAUUAUCCAUCAAAUUUAUCUUGCUCACUAUGCUUAAGAUUAGAGAAGAACAAAUACACUUUUGGUUCUAUUGGUGUUUUCCACCAACAGGACUAAUCCACUUGAUCUCUGCCUUGUCUCUAUGAGCAGGACACAUUUUGAGAAACACAGGGGAUUUUUCAACUCCCAAACUCUACCAAGUGAAGGACUUGGAUCUACGAGCACAAACACACUGAGCAAGAUACUGCCAACGCCGCACUUCGAACUACUGGGCAAACAAAGAACCGGGUGACACAGUAUCAAGAGGUGUAGACGUCAAGGUCCACACCUAAAUCAAAUGACGCACCUAAAGAAUGAACACGGUGAGAAGUCUUGUUCAAAAGACUUAAAACAUUGAACCCUCGCCGAAAGGUAAAAUCGGUAAUUAUCCAUAUUUAUCCUUUCUACAUUCCCAAAAGGCUUGUUAGUUAAUCAUGCUAUCUUGAAAAGAAAAUAAAAAUUUUAAAAAUAGUAAGCCCCAUGUGAGUAUGCUCGUGGUAUAAAACCCAUAAGUACAUUCACUGUGGUGGCGUAAAAAUAAAAUAAAUAUAUUCCUGUCCUAUAGAAAUGAAAAUAUAAAAAUAAAUUUAUGAUCCUACCAAAG